AUGAAAUCUGAAUUGAUUUCUAAAUGUAGGUCCAAGGGCAAAGGACGCCCACCACUGGAGGGCCUAAACAUUGACCUGUGCUUGAAGAGAAGCGUGAUAAACAGACAUCACUACACAAGUACACAAGUACUGGCCUUGCCAAGGUUUUUGAGAUCUCAACAUAGUUCAUUUGGAACUACUACUGCAUUUCAGGGCAAAAUGUUCUCCACACAAUUGAUCGUCACAUUGCUGACCACAUCCUUUAUAGCACAGAUCACUUUUACUUAUGACCUGCAGGACACCAUUAAGAAACUGAGAGAUGAAAAUGCCUACCUUCAACACAGACUGGAGAACAUCACUCAAGCACUGCGUGAGCUGAGGAACCUGAUCUUGGAUCACUCGAAAGACGGAGGAUUCUCAGGGACCAGUGUAGACCAUAAGAGUGAGCAGCUGCAUGCCUGGAAUGAAUGGAUUCGAAAUGGUAUCAGUGCUGAGACGCAUGUCAUGUUGCAGCAGGCAUUCUGUUGGAGUGAUCUUCAUAGCUCUGCUGAUCUAUGGCUGCCAAUACACUUAUGUCUUAUUCUUCUUUCUUGCAACUUCUUGUUUAACUUCUUGUUAAUUUAGCAGGAGUUCAUAACUGUGUACACUGAUUACAGCCUGUUUACUGGCCAAUCAACAGGCCUAACAUUUUUAUUAUUAGUUUACUGUUUGAUCAUUUGAAUUUGUAGUAUAUUUAGUGUUUAGUGAUUAGUAUAGAGUUUUAUAUACAUUUUUGCAAUCAAUGCUGCAAUGUAAAAGUUUUGUAAUUUGAAUAAAAAUAUGGAU
rnacentral:lncRNA from 1 species